ensembl:miRNA Mir344-2 microRNA 344-2
UUUUUACCAGUCAGGCUCCUGGCUAGAUUCCAGGUACCAACUGGUACCUGAUCUAGCCAAAGCCUGACUGUAAGCUGCAA